UUAACCUUUAUAAGACCAUCCCUUCGGGUCUUUUAUGUUGUCCAUCAAUCAUCAACUUCUCCGCUCUCAACCUUUGUUCGUCUUUAUUUUAAACUCAAAGAUGCUUCGUCUUCCUUUAAUUUCCACCAUUUCCAUCUUUCUUCUACAUCUAGUUGCCACCGGUAAGUCCUUCUUAACGCAUCUAAAUUAAAUAAGAUCUUAUUAAUUAUAGUUAUUUUUGACUAUUUAGUUAUGUUAUUGUUUUUGUGACAUAAGCAGAAAUGGGUCCUAUAAUGGCAGAAGAUUGUGGGCAAGUGAACGAACACUUUUUUGGACCAUGUCAUAUUGGCGCAGCGGAUGAAGAAGCAAAAUGUAAUCGUUAUUGUCAAUUUGACGGCGACACUGGUGGGCAUUGCAAUGACGCUGG
rnacentral:lncRNA from 1 species